rnacentral:lncRNA from 1 species
CAUGAGUGCUAGGAAAUGAAGAUUUAAGUAUCAGAUAAACCUACGCUCAGAGAAUUACUUCAUGGAAUUUAUUACGGGUAAUUCUGAGAUAAUAAUAUAUUAUGAUCUUAAAACAAAGAUAUAUGAGUUGUAUAUUACAAGUCGGUUGUACAUUGGUAAUGUGUAAACGCAUCAGUAACUUGAUGUUAUAAAACGUAUUGCCACGCAUGAUUUGAUGAGUACAAAAUGCGAGCAUUUGAGUCAAAGUUUAUUCGUUCCUUUUACGCUAAUGGGAAAAGCGAUAUAUUUGGGCACUUCAGUGAUUUUGUGUUGACUUAUAGUGUUGGGCCCAUCCAGGACUAAAUUAAUGUGUUUGAUUAGAAGUCCUAUAUCAUCACAAAUCAGAAAUCAGGAGACAAUGUAAUGGAAAAUGUUAUUCAUUCGAUUGCAUGUCUCAUGUUCCUAUGAUGACUUGUAGAACGGAGGAUUAUAUGAUCACUUACCUUAGGACACAUAACUGACCAGGUCAAAGUUCGAAAAACGGCUUUUGGAUGCUACGAUUUGCUAAUCGAUUAAGAAGUUAUACAGCUAAUUAUAGUUAUAGACUUAUCAAAGUCGGAGACUGGUGGAUUAGGUGUCUAAGUCCAUAACUAAAAUUUAUAUAUACUUGAAUUCAUAAUUGAAAAGUCCUUUUGGAUUUUCCUCAAACCUAGCAAUCGGACAUGAUCAUUUUAGAGAGUGAUUAAUUUAUUAUGUGAACAAUAAAUUAAAUAAAUGCUUUAUUAAUGUGUUAUGAAAAUAAUAUAUUAAUUAUAAAUCAUAUAACUUAAUUAAUAAUUAACAAGAAAUUUAUUGUAAUUAAUUUUAGGAUUAAAUGGAUUAUAUACAGUCUGUUUUAUUAUUUAAGGAAGGCUCUAGAACCUCAUGGAAUGAGGUGGACAAACUCCUACAGGGAAACCCUAAGAGAUUUCGUCCAAGGCCCCUUAGACAAGGGGAUUGGGCUGCUUCGUCACCAAGCAAGGAAAUAUAAGGCUUAUCCCUUGAACUCUAGCUUUGGCACCAAGUUUUCUCUAAUAUAUAAGGAGUCCUCUAGCCCUUGAUUUCAUACAUGCCUUCCCUCCACAAGCCAUGGACGACAAUCCAUCUCCUCUCUCCUAAUUCAUUCUCUUGCUAGCAUGGGUGUGAUUCUAUUAGAGGCAAAAAAAACUUGUGGUGGUUGCCUCCAAAAGAUCAACAAAGAAGAAUUCUUGUUUUUAUGUAUAACUACUAAUAGGUACGUAAUUCUAAAACCUUUAAUGUUAAUUUCAAAAAUACCCUAGGUUUUCCAGGUUUCCUUUUGAUGUUCUUAGUUAUACAUUUAAUAGAGAAAAAAUAGAUUGUAUUUAGGUUGCAUGCAAACUUUAAGGUUUUAAUUUUGUUUGGUUACCUAAAUCCAUCACCCUUAUUGUAUUAAGAUAAUAUAACUUAAUGAAAAGUGAUUGUUAUAACCAAUUAGAUAAAUGACCUUAAAGUUCUGACUAGCAUUAAAUAUUGCAUCUGAUUUUAUUGGAUUUUAUUGAAUUAGACAUAGCAAUAGAAUUGUUGCAAUAUUCAUGAGUGCUAGGAAAUGAAGAUUUAAGUAUUGGAUAAACCUACGCUUAGAGAAUUACCUCAUGGAUUUUAUUACGGGUAAUUCUUGAGAUAAUAAUAUAUUAUGAUCUUAAAACGAAGAUAUAUGAGCUGUAUAUUACAAGUCGGUUGUACAUUGGUAAUGUGUAAACGCAUCAGUAACUUGAUGUUAUAAAACGUAUUGCCACGCAUGAUUUGAUGAGUAAAAAAUGCGAGCAUUUGAGUCAAAGUGUAUUCGUUCCUUUUAUGCUAAUGGGAAAAGCGAUAUAUUUGGGCACUUCAGUGAUUUUGUGUUGACUUAUAGUGUUGGGCCCAUCCAGGACUAAAUUAAUGUGUUUGAUUAGAAGUCCUAUAUCAUCACAAAUCAGAAAUCAGGAGACAAUGUAAUGGAAAAUGAUAUUCAUUCGAUUGCAUGUCUCAUGUUCCUAUGAUGGAUUGUAGAACGGAGGAUUAUAUGAUCACGUACCUUAGGACACAUAACUGACCAGGUCAAAGUUCGAAAAACGGCUUUUGGAUGCUACGAUUUGCUAAUCGAUUAAGAAGUUAUACAGCUAAUUAUAGUUAUAGACUUAUCAAAGUCGGAGACUGGUGGAUUAGGUGUCUAAGUCCAUAACUAAAAUUUAUAUAUACUUGAAUUCAUAAUUGAAAAGUCCUUUUGGAUUUUCCUCAAACCUAGCAAUCGGACAUGAUCAUUUUAGAGAGUGAUUAAUUUAUUAUGUGAACAAUAAAUUAAAUAAAUGCUUUAUUAAUGUGUUAUGAAAAUAAUAUAUUAAUUAUAAAUCAUAUAACUUAAUUAAUAAUUAACAAGAAAUUUAUUGUAAUUAAUUUUAGGAUUAAAUGGAUUAUAUACAGUCUGUUUUAUUAUUUAAGGAAGGCUCUAGAACCUCAUGGAAUGAGGUGGACAAACUCCUACAGGGAAACCCUAAGAGAUUUCGUCCAAGGCCCCUUAGACANNNNNNNNNNNNNNNNNNNNNNNNNNNNNNNNNNNNNNNNNNNNNNNNNNNNNNNNNNNNNNNNNNNNNNNNNNNNNNNNNNNNNNNNNNNNNNNNNNNNUUAUACGUUCAAUAGAGAAAAAAUAGAUUGUAUUUAGGUUGCAUGCAAACAUUAAGGUUUUAAUUUCGUUUAUUUACCUAAAUCCAUCACCCUUAAUGUAUUUUUAGUUAUUUUAAGAUAAUAUAACUUAAUGAAAAGUGAUUGUUAUGAGCACUUAGAUAAAUGACCUUAAAGUUCUAACUAGCAUAAAAUAUUGCAUCUGAUUUUAUUGGAUAUAUUAUUAAAAUUUCAAUCUUUUUUUGUAAACAAAUUAUUACUAUAUUUGUUGAUGUCCUUAUAAUUAAUGUGCAUUAUUAUUGUAAUUUUGGAGACUUUGAACAUAUUGGAAUGAUUAUGAUGUAAACAAAAUAUGAGAGGAAAUAGAACGACUGACUAAGAAAUAUGGGAGUGAUUGUUAAGAGCACUUAGAUAAAUGACCUUAAAGUUCUGACUAGCAUUAAAUAUUGCUUCUGAUUUUAUUGGAUUUGUUUUUAAAAUAUCAAUAUUUUUUUGUAAACAAAUUAUUCCUAUAUUUGUUGAUGUCCUAAUAAUUAAUGUGCAUUAUUAUUGUAAUUUUGGAGAUAUUGAACAUUCAUUUAUUUUAAGAUAAUAUAACUUAAUGAAAAGUGAUUGUUAUGAGCACUUAGAUAAAUGACCUUAAAGUUCUUACUAGCAUUAAAUAUUCCAUCAGGUUUUAUUGAAUUAGACAUAUCUUGCAGAACGAAUGAUUAUAUGAUCACUUAUCUUAGGACACGUAACUGACUAGGUCAGAGUUCGAAAAACGGCUUUUGCAUGCUAUGAUUUGCUAAUCGAUUAAGAAGUUAUACUGCUAAUUAUAGUUAUAGACUUAUCCAAGUCGGAGACUGUUGGAUUAGGUGUCUAACUCCAUAACUAAAAUUGAUAUAUAGUUGAAUUGAUAAUGGAAAAGUCUUUUUGGAUUUUCCUCAAACCUAGGCAUUGGACAUGAUCAUUUUAAAGAGUAAUUAAUUUAUUAUGUGAAUAAUAAAUUAAAUAAAUGCUUUAUUAAUGUGUUAUGAAAAUAAUAUAUUAGUUAGAAAUCAUAUAAUUUAAUUAAUAAUUAAUAAGAAAUUUAUUGGAAUUAGUUUUAGGAUUAACUGGAUUAAUUAAAAGUAUAAAGUCUGUUUUGUUAUUUAAGGAAGGCUCUAGAACCUCAUGGAAUGAGGUGGACAAAGACCUACAGGGAAACCCUAAGAGAUUUCGUCCAAGGCCCC